rnacentral:piRNA from 1 species
GAACUCAGACUGGAAAGGCGGAC